GGUUCUUCCACUGCACCUGUCUUACCAUUCCAUCCAAUGCCGUCGUCGGAGGCUUCGCAUGUCUGUAUUCAUUUUUGGAUUCUACCGAAAUGUGGGACGUGACGGUCUUUGAUGUAACUGACGGGAGUGCUUCCUGAACAAUUGCUGGUCAGGCUGCCGUAAACUCGAUGCGAGUUCUUUGAAAAGUGCUGAAAGAGUUUUUUGAGGAUUUUUCGUGAGGCGACAUCUGCUACGUUCUUUCACUGUGCAUGUGCGUUGCAGCCAGCAAAACCUUACUGGCCCGAAGCAAACCGGUUAGCAGACGUCGGUUUAGGAGAUUGGUACUACCAAAUUGUGGAUCAGUUAUAAUGAUAUGUAAAAUUUUUUUGUACGUAUGGUUAACUUACGUCGAGAUGUUAA